AACGAACGCUGGCGGCAUGCCUAACACAUGCAAGUCGAACGAGACCUUCGGGUCUAGUUGCGCACGGGUGCGUAACGCGUGGGAACCUGCCCUUAGGUUCGGAAUAACUCCCCGAAAGGGGUGCUAAUACCGGAUAAUGUCUUCGGACCAAAGAUUUAUUGCCUUUGGAUGGGCCCGCGUUGGAUUAGCUAGUUGGUAGGGUAAAAGCCUACCAAGGCGACGAUCCAUAGCUGGUCUGAGAGGAUGAUCAGCCACACUGGGACUGAGACACGGCCCAGACUCCUACGGGAGGCAGCAGUGGGGAAUAUUGGACAAUGGGCGAAAGCCUGAUCCAGCAAUGCCGCGUGAGUGAUGAAGGCCUUAGGGUUGUAAAGCUCUUUUACCCGGGAUGAUAAUGACAGUACCGGGAGAAUAAGCGCCGGCUAACUCCGUG
rnacentral:rRNA from 1 species